rnacentral:rRNA from 1 species
GACGAACGCUGGCGGCGUGCUUAACACAUGCAAGUCGAACGGAAAGGCCCUGCUUUUGUGGGGUGCUCGAGUGGCGAACGGGUGAGUAACACGUGAGUAACCUGCCCUUGACUUUGGGAUAACUUCAGGAAACUGGGGCUAAUACCGGAUAGGAGCUCCUGCUGCAUGGUGGGGGUUGGAAAGUUUCGGCGGUUGGGGAUGGACUCGCGGCUUAUCAGCUUGUUGGUGGGGUAGUGGCUUACCAAGGCUUUGACGGGUAGCCGGCCUGAGAGGGUGACCGGAGAGUGUGGAGCGGCGAGCGGGCGCGGGCGCUGAGGGGGGGGGAGUGGGGGGAAGAACGCAAGGGGGGAGGAAGCCUGACGCAGCAGCGCGGGGUGGGGGAGGGUGGGUGUGGGGUUUAACCCUGUGUUCGGGUGUGACGAGGGGUGAGGAGGGGUAAGGGGAAAAGAAGAACGGGGAAAGUACGGGCCAGCAGCGGCGGUAAUAUGCGGCAGAGCACCCGGCUGAAC